CCAUUAGUACCUGACUGAACACACGUGACCCCAAUCUCUAUUUAAGCAAGAGCAUUCAAUCAUCUCUACCCCAAACGCUGCAUUUCCGUCGAUGUCCGGGUUGAAGAAUAUUUAGCAAAGGGAGGUUUCAGAGCUCAACUCGAGACAGUGGCUAUGGCUUUUGCAUCUUGUCUCCAUUCAUCUUACUUGUCGAAUACCUUCCUUCCAAUCCUCCGUCACCGCUCAGCUCUUUCCACCUCCACUAGCCACCUCCAUCGGUUCUGCUCACCCAGCCGGUUCUUCUCUUCUGCAAACCAGUUCAGACUGCCAUUAAUGCAGGUUCAAGUGCAGGCCAAGAGAGGGUUCUCUUUCAAAGAAGAAGUAAUCGCUUCUCCUGCUGAUCUUUCCUUUGAAGCACCACUCAAAAUUGUGGAAUAUCCAGACCCUAUAUUGAGAGCCAAAAACAAGCUUAUCGGUACAUUUGAUGACAAUUUGAAGAAGUUGGUUGAUGAAAUGUUCGAUGUAAUGUACAAAACUGAUGGUAUUGGGCUCUCAGCACCCCAAGUAGGAAUCAAUGUUCAACUCAUGGUUUUUAAUCCGGUUGGUGAACGUGGUGAAGGAGAGGAAAUUGUUCUUGUAAACCCUCGAGUAAACAAAUAUUCAAAAAAAAUUGUUCUCUUUAAUGAAGGUUGCUUGUCCUUUCCGGGGAUCUAUGCUGAUGUAGAGAGACCAGAAUCUGUAAAGAUUGAUGCACGGGACAUCACUGGUGCAAGAUUUAUGAUUAACUUGUCAGGACUUCCUGCACGGGUGUUCCAGCAUGAGUUUGACCAUUUACAGGGUACUCUUUUCUUUGACAGAAUGACCGAAGAAGUUCUUAACAGUAUCCAUGCCAAUCUGCAGGACUUAGAAAGGAAGUAUGAAGAUAGGACUGGAUUUCCGAGCCCUGAAAGGAUAGAAACCCGCAAAAGAAGGAAGGUGGCUGCUGGUUUUGGGAAAUCAUGAAUACACAAGCUUCUAAAUGUAUCAGGUUUUAUAUGUAAGGAGUAUGCUGAGCAGAAGCACAAACUGGGACAAGAACAUUGGAAUGUUGUGGAUACAUUAGAUGAAUAGUAUUAUGUAUUAUUGGUAUUGGAUACCCGGGUAUGGGAUUGAAGAUUUGUCUUAAUGAUUCAAGUAUUCAACAAUGAAGAAUCGGCAUAUAAAAUACAUUUCACAUUUUUAUUGACACAUUCUUAAUUACCUAUGCUUUUCCUUGGUAAUACUUAAUUGAUAGGUGCCUAUCGAUGAGAAUUUGAGGGUACUGUUUUGAUUUUAUUUUUGAACCAAUUAAAUAAAAUUUUCUUCCCAACAUUUUCCAUUAUACCAAUGUAUUUUUUUGUUAUUCAGUCUUUCUGAGAUUAAGUUGAGGAUUCAAAUUUGUAUGGUCAAAGAAUUUGUUACUGGUGGUCUCUUAAUUCUUGGCUAGAGUGUGAAGCCAGAACUCAGAUCUAUUGUUUCUCA